rnacentral:rRNA from 1 species
UACAGAGGUCUCAAGCGUUGUUCGGAAUCACUGGGCGUAAAGGGUGCGUAGGUGGCAUGGUAAGUCAGAUGUGAAAGCCUGGGGCUCAACCUCAGAAUUGCAUCCGAUACUGCUGUGCUAGAGUACUGGAGGGGUGACUAGAAUUCUCGGUGUAGCAGUGAAAUGCGUAGAUAUCGAGAGGAAUACCAAAGGCGUAGGCAGGUCACUGGACAGUUACUGACACUGAGGCACGAAGGCCAGGGGAGCAAACGGG